rnacentral:lncRNA from 1 species
CCUCCAGCUGUAACACUCCAUGGUUCCACAAACAACCCGGAAUGCUACUGUACUACACUUCCGACGUCCAUAUAUAAAAUUUCGGCAGCAUCCCCUUUGCAAGAUUGCAUAAAAGAGGGAGCAACAGAGUAUAAACAUAUAUCAUGACUAAAACAUACUAAGUAUUAUUACUCGGCCAGCAAGGAAAGAUAAACAUACGACCUGAACUGAAUUAACCAGUGUGCACGACCAUAUAAAAAAAUAAACAAACUUCCUUUGACAAUAAGUUUCUAAUUAAAUCAUGGCUGCGCCUGGGCAGCGUUAUUAUGAGAGUGAAAGUGGACGUGCUGCUACUCCCCUCAUUCCCAACAUGUAACAAGUACCUGCAUUGAGUAAUGCAAGAGUGAGAUGACACAUCUCAGCAAGUAAAAUAAUAUCAAACAGUUUAACCACAUAAGAACAUUGUUUUACCACCACUUGAUUCCACAACCUUCUUAUUACGAAGGUGCAGCACGUAUACAACGUACAACGCACCUAGUUACCACACCUCGCAGGUAGAAACCACAAUAGUAACAUAGUAAUGUCACACUUCAUAUAUUUCCUCAUGAGUGCAAAUGUCUGCAAAUGCAAGGAUGACUUCUGCCUUCAUACCUCUAAGGAUAUGAAGCCGCAUCGUACCCCUCCUCGGGCAACGUACGAUGCUAAAAAUGUACCGGUACGGUCGGACCAUAAGAUCACGACAUAACUUCAAAAUGCAAGAUGGAUGAUGCGAUGUGCAUGUCAUGCCUACAACACUUCAUAUAACAUGAUUCAAAAAGACACUUCAACUUCAUCCAGAUGGGAAUCAACCACAUAUAUCAUUACCAAAUUAUGAUCAUCCACAAUAUUAGACAAUUGAGAAUUAAUACUUCCAAACAAAUAAACUUCAUCAUAGAAUUCAAUGAUUAACAUAAUUAAAACUUAUGCAUACUCAAUGACAGGGAAUAGGAUGCAAACCAAACGGUAGCAACCACCACUGUAUUUACUUGCCUUUACCGGAAGUUCGGGCAAAUCCCUAAGUACGAUCCGGAAGUCCACCACCUGUUUUUGACACCCAACUUAGUACACCAAUUUCACAUAAUCAGGCCCAUAAGCGACGCCGCACCUACGCACAACUCAAACCCCGCCGCGGGUUACAUCUCUCCCUACACCCACCAAACUGCAGCGGCGCUGCUUAAUAAUUUCAUAACUUUAAAAUUAUGACAGCAGUGGUAACAAACAAAAACUCCAGAGGCAUCUACAUAAAAUUCCCCACAAGUUUUGUAUACAAUUUAUAAUUAAAUUCCAAUAUCUAAUUAGCCCAAAACAGUCCACAAGAUGAACCCUGUAAUCUGUUUUUCUUUAUCUUUUGGACAGCGACAUACCCAGAUUCAAACAGCGAUAUCUUUUAAAAUAUAAUUCCAAAUCAAGCGCAUAAGUACUUAUUGGAAAGAUAAGACAAAUCCCUACAUGAUUACCAUACUGGUUAACACUAAUUACCCACGAAAAAUUCCCAGAAACUGCUAAUACCACUGCUGUUCACCCACCUGAAAAAUCUGUUUUUUUGGACAGCAACAUAACCGGAUUCAAACAACGAUAUCUCCUGAAUUAUAACUCCGAAUCGAGCGCAUAAGUACUCGUUGGAAAGGUAAGGUAAAGUUCUACAUGAUCCCCAAACUGAUUUCCCUUAAUUCCUCACGAAAAAAACACAGAAACUGCUAGACUACUGCUGUUCACUCACCACCUAAAAUUCUGGACAGCCCCCUCUACCCAAUCGCAAACGCAACCUCUAAUCAAUUAAAUUGCAGCGCAAAUGAACAAGGGAUGAACACAAAAAUCACCUUGGAUUCUCCCCCUUUCCUUCCUCCCUUCUUCCCUCCACCAAAACGAUUGAAGACUCGCACCACGACGACGAUGAUCCGAGCGGCAAGGAUUGGCACCUUGGGAGGAGGGGAUUGAGGGGGGCGGCUAGGGUUUGGUGGCUGCAAGAAUGGAGAGAGGAGGAGAUGGGCAGGGGGGCGACGGCCAAGGGGGGAGAGAAGUGGGGGGCGGCUGCACAUGGGGGGAGGGGGUUAGGAGGGAGGCGGCUAGGGUUUGGGAGGGUUAAUGGGCUGAAACUCCAAUUGCGGCCCAACUAACCCACGCGACAGCUCCCGACCGUAACGCAAGCAUCAAAUCAGAUAAAUUCUACUGCCCUAGUUGUGAAUGUUUUCCACAAAAUCCCAAAUCCCCAAAACAACAACCGGAUGAGGAAAAAAAACAAAAAGAACAACCCCCAACUUCUCUUCUUUGCAAACCGGGUAUCACACUCUACCCCUCUUAAAAAGAAUUCGACCUCGAAUUCUGACGCUUCUAUCGGAACAACAAAAGAAAGGUUAAUGAAUCAACAAAACUCACACAUAAAGAAAAGUUCGAGUACUUCUGCCGCAUCAGCUCCUCAAGCUCCUAGGAUUCUAAGAUACGCAGCAGACGACACUCUAGAGUCUGCUCUUGCUACACAGGAAUCGGCUCUAGCUCGAUUUGAUGGUCUGGAUUCCGCAAAUACUUCCUCAACAAAAAGACAUGGAAUACUUGGUGUACCCUGUGUUGGAUCUUUUAUGGGCUUGGCCCAUUUAUUGAAUAAACUCUAUGGUAUGUAAUGGUGGAGAAUACCAAUAGUACCACAUUGGAAGUCCAAGGGUCUUU